CAUGCAUCAGUGGGGUCCCUCAGCCUGGCCUGUACCCUAUCUCAAUCUGGGACCCCUCAGGAGAUGUCAGACUGUGAGUUUCAGCCCAAUCCCCCAGGCCAGGCUGAGGGACCCUACUGGUGCACA
rnacentral:pre_miRNA from 1 species